rnacentral:rRNA from 1 species
CGUGACACGUGCAAUAGUGGUCUCAUAUAAUAUCAGUAUAUCGUUAUAUUUGUAUAGGACCUUACUACAUGGUUACCUGGGGAAAUUCUAAACCUAAUACUUGCUAAAAACCUCAACUUCGGAAGGGGGGAAUUAAUUAAAUAAAAAACCAAGGCCCUUCGGGGUUCCUUGGGGAAUCUUAAUAACUUACCAAAUCGCAUGGCCUUGCGCCGGCAAUGGUUCUUUCAAAUUUCUGCCCUAUCAACUUUCAAUGGUAGGAUAUGGGCCUACCAUGGUGGCAACGGGAAACGGGGAAUUAGGGUUCAAUUCCGGAAAGGAAGCCUGAAAAACGGUUACCACUUCCAAGGAAGGCAGCAGGCGCGCAAAUUACCCAUUCCCAACACGGGGAGGAAGGGACAAUAAUAACUGAUACGGGGCUCUUCUGGGCCUCGUAAUUGAAAUGAGUACAAUCUAAAUCCCUUACCAAGGAACAAUGGAAGGGCAAGUCUGUUGCCAGCAGCCGCGGAAAUUCCAGUUCCAAUACCGAAUAUAAAAGUUGUUGCAGUUAAAAGCUCGUAGUUGAACCUUGGGUCUGGCUGGCCGGUCCGCCUCACCGCGAGUACUGGUCCGGCUGGACCUUUCCYUCUGGGGAACCUCAUGGCCUUCACUGGCUGUGGGGGGAACCAGGACUUUUACUGUGAAAAAAUUAGAGUGGCUCCAGGAGGGCUUUGCUCCAAUACAUUAACAUGGAAUAAUAAAAUAGGACGUGCGGUUCUAUUUUGGUGGUUUCUAGGACCGCCGUAAUGAUUAAUAGGGAUAGUCGGGGGCGUCAGUAUUCAGCUGUCAGAGGUGAAAUUCUUGGAUUUGCUGAAGACUAACUACUGCGAAAGCAUUCGCCAAGGAUGUUUUCAUUAAUCAGGAAACGAAAGUUAGGGGAUCGAAAACGAUCAAAUACCGUCGUAGUCUUAACCAUAAACUAUGCCGACUAGGGAUCGGVCGGGGUAUCUAUGAUGACCCGCUCGGCACCUUACAAAACAUCGUAGUUGUUGCUCCUCUGGGAGGAUGAUGGUCGCGAUGCUGAUACUUAAAGAUGUUGACGGAACGCCACCACGGGUGGUGCAUGCUGCUUAUUAAUUUGACUCACCACGAAAAUCCUCACCACGUCCAGACAUAAUAAUGAUUGACAGAUUGAGCACCUCUCUUCUUGAUCUUUUGGAUGGUGCAGCAUGGCCGUUCUUAGUUGGUGGUGACGAUUUGUGCUGCUUAGUUGCGAUAACCAACGACACCUCCUGCCUUAAUAUA